rnacentral:rRNA from 1 species
UACGGAGGCAGCAGUGGGGAAUAUUGCACAAUGGGCGAAAGCCUGAUGCAGCUAUGCCGCGUGUAUGAAGAAGGCCUUAGGGUUGUAAAGUACUUUCAUCGGGGAGGAAAAAACAAAACUAAUAAUUUUAUUUCUUGACGUUACCCGAAAAAGAAGCACCGGCUAACUCCGUGCCAGCAGCCGCGGUAAUACGGAGGGUGCUAGCGUUAAUCAGAAUUACUGGGCGUAAAGAGCACGUAGGUGGUUUUUUUAAGUCAGAUGUGAAAUCCCUGGGCUUAACCUAGGAACUGCAUUUUGAAACUGAAAUACUAGAGUAUCGUAGAGGGAGGUAGAAUUCUAGGUGUAGCGGUGAAAUGCGUAGAUAUCUGGAGGAAUACCUGUGGCGAAAGCGGCCUCCUAAACGAAUACUGACACUGAGGUGCGAAAGCGUGGGGAGCAAACAGGGAUUAGAUACC